rnacentral:lncRNA from 1 species
AAAUCGACAUGGUAACUCAAACAAGUCAAUAUUGCGACCAAAUUUCCAUCCCUGUUGAGCUCACAGAUUUGUAAGCUAGUUAGUUAGUUAAAGAGGAGUAUCCGCCCACAAUACCUCUUGGUUAUGCAGCCUGUAUAGAGUUGCAUGGAGACGAAAGGCAUCCGUAUAAAGAGGGGGCCACCGACAAAACAAUCAAAAGUAAACCGGGAAAAAAAAAAUAACCACCAUUUGAGACGGUAUCAGAGUAUAUAAAGAAUGAUCAAUAAGCUAUAGCUAGUUCCUUACCGUCCUCGCUCAUGCUCCGGAAGAUUCAGAUAUCGUGCCAUAAUUUCCUCAAGGCUUCCACAAAUCCGAUACAUGUCAUAGACCAAUAUGAUCAUUCAGAUCAUUUUAUGUUGAAAACUUUGUAUAUACUUGUUACUAAAAUAAAGACUUAACAGGAAUAUACAGAAAGAAAUUUAUAAAGGACGCGAGUGAGGGCUGAGGAGUAACACCUUUUGUUUCCUGAAAAUACGCUGAGUCUUCCAGAGGGGGAGAACAUGAUGAGAGCUACAUCAACAUCACAGAGCACAGAAAGUUC